UGCUGUUACAGACUCUCAGAUGAAUAAAAAGUGGGGACGAUCUAUGGUGGAUGCCAUUAAAGCAGCAAUAGAAGGAGGUGCUACCAUUGUUCAAUUGAGGGAGAAGGAUGCUGAAACAAGGGAGUUCUUGGACAUGGCAAAAGCAUGUCUUGAAAUUUGCCGUUCCCAUGGAGUUCCUCUAUUGAUAGAUGACCGAGUUGAUGUAGCCCUUGCAUGUGAUGCUGAUGGCGUACAUGUUGGUCAGUCUGAUAUGCCUGUUCGUAUUGCCCGCGCUCUUCUUGGCCCUGAAAAGAUAAUUGGUGUAUCAUGCAAAACACCUGAGCAAGCCCAGCAAGCAUGGAUUGAUGGUGCUGAUUACAUAG
rnacentral:misc_RNA from 1 species